rnacentral:rRNA from 1 species
CUUCAAGCAGUUCCAAAAUAUUAGUCAAUGCUCGAAAGAGUGAACUAGCUAACUGAAAUCAAUUAUAAUAAUUGAUAACAUAAGGGAAAAUAAUGAUAUUACCUUAUUAUUAGUGUCGUCCAAAUCUGGUGCCAGAAGACUCGGUAAGGCCAGAGACACAAACGUUAAUCGUCUUAAUCAGGCGUAAAGGGUUUGUAGGCGGCUUUAAAAUUUACUUAAAUAUACAAAAUAAGUAAAGAAUAAAAGCUAGAAUCAAAUAGAGGAUAUAUGAAAUAAUGCUUAGAGUAGGUCUGAUAUCCUUAGAUACUAAGUAGAAUAUUAAAGGCGAAAGCUUUUUUCCAUUAAUGAUUGACGCUCAGAAACGAAGGUGAGGAUAGGAAAUAGGAUUAGAUACCCAGAAUACCCCUCUCUGUCAACGAUGAAUGGUAGUUAUUAGUACAAAUUUAUUAAUGGCAAUGUUAACACGAUAACCAUUCCGCCUUGUGAGUACAACUGCAAAGUUGAAAACAAAAAAAUAGUCGGUCGAGCAAACGAAGUGAAGCAUGUUAUUUAAUUCAAUAAAUCCGCAAAAAUGAGA